rnacentral:misc_RNA from 1 species
GUCAGACUCUCAGACUUUCAGCUAUCUGAUAAGCAACUGCACGAAUGAGGAUGACAUAUCUAAGUUUCUCGAUGAGAUGAAAGAUUCUGGAGUUCAACUCACAAAGCAUGUAUAUAUGGCCCUAAUAAAUGGAUAUGCAGCUUCUGGACAGUUUGAAAAGGCUAAACAGGUAAUCUGUGAUCAAGGAGUAUCUGCAAAGGGUUUCAAUGAAAUUAGAAGUGUGCUUAUUUCAGCUCUUGCUUCACAUGGGAAAAUAUCAGAUGCCCUUGAUAUAUAUAAGGAAAUGG